AACCAGGUUUUAAACUUCAUGUGGUGGAUCACCAUUACAAUUUGGUCUCUGUUACUGUGGUAAAAUGCUCUGGCUUGUACAGCUUUCAUAGGUCACAGUUCUGUUGAAGGAAGUCCAGGGCAGGAACCCCAGGUAGGAACCUGGAGGCGAGACCCAUAGAGGAAUGCUGUAUGCUAACUGCUUCUCCGCCUUGCUCGCAAGUUCAUGCUCACUCAGGUAGAUGUUUACAUAGCCCAGGACCACCUACUUAGGGAAUGACACUGCCCAUAGUGGGCUGGGUCAAUUAGCAACCAAACAACCCCCAUAGAAUACCCACAGGCCCCUCUGAUCUAGGCAGCUCCUCAAGUGGGGUUUCCCUCUUCCUGGGUGACUCAAGUCUGAGUGAAAUUGACAGUAAAAACUGAGCAGGAUGCCUGCAUCUAUAACAUCACAGCACACGGGAGGUAGAGGCAGGAGGAUUAGGAGUUCGGGCUCAUCCUCCACUAUGAGUAGGGGAUGAAGGCCAGUCUGGGCUCUAUGGUACUUUGUGUGGAAGACAGCAAAUGAGUAAAAACAAAAGACAUUUUCAUCUUUGUUUCCUUACUGAUCUUCUUUCUCACUUCCUUUCUUUUUUUCCCACCUUAUCUUUUUCUUCUUUCUUUCUUCUCUCUUUUUUUAAGGCAGAGUAUCUCUCUUCCUCUCUCCCACUCUGAGACAGAUUCCCUCUGACUCUCAGAGUCUCACUAGACCUACCAGGCUGCUGUGGAGCCCACUCUGCUGCCUUUGUUUUGUGGUAGGGUUUCCCUGUAUAGCUCAGGGUGGCUUUAAACUUACGAACAUACUGCCUUUAUCCCCCACAAGUGCUUGAGUAUAGACCCACUUGUGUGUCACCCUGGUGGCUUCGGCCCUGUGUGUUGGUUAUGUUUUAUGUCCCUAUGUAAGCUAUGGUAUAGAGAUAUUUCUCUCUCUCAUAUAAGUGUGAGUGUGUGUGUGUGUGUGUGUUGCAUAUAUUAUCCUGUGUGUGUGUGUGUGUAUAUAUAUAUACAUAUUAUAUGUAUACAUAUACACAUAUGUGUGUAUGUAUAUAUAUCUUAUAUAUAUGAUAACAUGAUAUACAUGUGAGUAUGUAUGAAUAUGAUAAUGUCUAAUAUAUGAAAGAGAAAUCUCUGUCUCUGUCUCUGUCUCUCUGUCCUUCUGUCUGUCUGUCUGUCUGUCUGUCUGUCUGUCUCUCUCUCUCUCUCUCACACACACACACACACACACACACACACGCAUACGCACUCGCACAUGCACACACCCACACUCCAGAAGAUGUUACAGAGCCAUUUUGGAAGAGGAGAUUCAACUGAGACAAUGCCCCUACCAGACUGGCCUGCAAGCAAGCCUGUGGAAAACUUGUUUAAGCCAGCCAAAUAUGUGAUGAACACACAGCAUCAUUAAAGCCAAGUGACCUUUAAAAGGAAGAUGUUGAUCACAAUGCAGGACCCGGGUAUUCGUGGGUGCGAGGGGGACCGCAAACCUGAAGAGAAAUGAGCGAGAAAGAAGAGCGAGACCAAGCAAAGAGUUGUCAAGGUUUCUUCAUCAUUCUGGAUCCCAGAGGAGGGGACAGACACUGGGGUGACUAAAUCCCAUGAAUGACAAACUUUUGUGCUUAUAAAGCACUGAGCCUGGAUGGGAUGUUUGUUACUGUAACACAACCUGACAUUCCUAGCCGAUACACCAACUCCCCAGCAAGGCA
rnacentral:lncRNA from 1 species